ACUCCUACGGGAGGCAGCAGUGGGGAAUCUUGGACAAUGGGCGCAAGCCUGAUCCAGCCAUGCCGCGUGAGUGAUGAAGGCCCUAGGGUCGUAAAGCUCUUUCGCCAGGGAUGAUAAUGACAGUACCUGGUAAAGAAACCCCGGCUAACUCCGUGCCAGCAGCCGCGGUAAUACGGAGGGGUUAGCGUUGUUCGGAAUUACUGGGGCGUAAAGCGCGCGUAGGCGGACUGGAAAGUUGGGGGUGAAAUCCCGGGGGCUCAACCCCGGAACUGCCUCCAAAACUCCCAGUCUUGAGUUCGAGAGAGGUGAGUGGAAUUCCGAGUGUAGAGGUGAAAUUCGUAGAUAUUCGGAGGAACACCAGUGGCGAAGGCGGCUCACUGGCUCGAUACUGACGCUGAGGUGCGAAAGUGUGGGGAGCAAACAGGAUUAGAUACCCUGGUAGGAUAGCG
rnacentral:rRNA from 1 species